GUAUCCGUGGUGUAGGUACUGCCCCUUGUCAAAACUAUAUAUUCACUAACACUCACACACACUCAUAGCAGCCGUCGCUGUCACUUUGUCGGGCCGGUCGGGCCAAAUCAAUCGUUUUCCAGUUUUGCUUUCGAGAGGUUUUUUUUUCUUCGGCGGACAUUAAACGGUUAAUUUUGAAGAAAUUGAACUGGAGCUCGGGAAAAUAAUAUGACUUGUCGAACAGGUUGCAGGUUCAUUUGCCGGCUGCAGGAAACUUCGUGUGGAAAAAUUAAGUCCAGAAAUCACGGAUUUGGCCAUGACUUUGAGCCAGUUCCUGAUCAAGAACGGUGGUGGGCAAAUGGCUGAACCGCGGCAACAACGGUCGAAAAUCAUUUCCGGGCGUGAUUGGAAAAGGCGCAACGAUUUGUAAAUGAGUCAGUUGAAGUUCAUUAAUAAAAAACCUAACUAAAA
rnacentral:lncRNA from 1 species